rnacentral:lncRNA from 1 species
CAGCUACCAACAGUUAUUUCAAAAUAAUUCAAGCUCUUUGUUUAUAUUUCUGAAAGAAAGAAAGAAAAAAAAAGGGUGGCCCAGCUGGAAACUCGGCUUUAAGUCCCCUUUCAGGGGGCCCUCAGCCGCACAGAAUCCACCUGGCAAAAAUGGAAACUGCCUGGAGGCCAGGGCUGAGGGAAGGCCUGGAGCAGAGCCGGUGCGCGACUCCGCAGUGAGCAGGGAGGGCAGGCUGGGGACGUUCACCACCCAGAACGCCUCUGCUCCCCGCAACCCUGAGACUCCAGGCUCCCCUGUUCCUCCCUCCGGGAGACCCUGCCCGUCCUCCCCGCGGGGCUCCUUCGCAGUUCGGGGGAAGGGGCAGGUUGCGUCCUCGGGACCUUUCUCUGCAGCCACAGCAGCGCAUCCCAGCACCUCCUCCAAGAGCCCCGCCACCUCCUGCCACCCGGACUUUCCCCACAGCGCAGCGUCCCCUCGUCCUCUCAGGGCUGGAACAGCGGUACCCGCAGACAGUGCAAAAGGGAAGUCCCUGUUGCCUUCCCAUGCAAACUGUAGGGCGCUUACAGCUGCUGGGAGAGGAAAGGAAAGAAGAAAU